CAAAAUCGACCAAAAAUGGUGAAAAAAACACCCAAAAAACAAAAAAAAAAAUCUCAUCUUAGACCUGUUGAACGCAAGUAGGAGGGAAGUAGAUGUCCAUGGCGAGGAUCCCAACGCUCUUCUUCUCCAAUUCCAUCUCUAUUCGCACGCUUUGGUCGAGUCGCUCUCUACGCCCCUCACCUGUUUGUGUUAUUUCCUCUUCGAAAACGAUACACAGAGGAGAGAGAGAAGAGAGCCCCCAACGGUCCCAUGCCUCGCUUUUCCCCCUCUCUCUACAUAUAAAGAGCGAAAAAAAAGGACCAAGCGCUUCACCAAUUUAUUAUAAUUUUUAAUUUAAAAUUUUAAUUUAUUGUAAUCAAAUUUAAAAAUUUAAUUUAAUUUAUUAAUUAUUGAUAUGUCACUAAUAUUAAAUAAGAAUAACAAUUAAGAUGCUACAUUACUUUUAGGGUCCGUUUGGUUUGAGUUAUGUAAUAUUACAAAGUAUCUCGACAUAUUCAGGUAUUUUGGAUUUUGGCGUGAGAUUACUACUGAUGCUGCAUUAGAGCGUUUGGUUUAAUACAGUAAUGUAAUACUAGAUUACAGUGCUCAUAGCAUUAAUAUGUUUAGUUCAGUUUAUAAAAUUUAAUAAUCCUGACAUAAAAGUAUAAUUUUUUUCAAAAUUGCCCUUAUUGUGGUCAUUUGAAUAUUAUUUUUUACGGAAAUGACGAAUGGAGGGAAGAAGAUUGUGAUGAUUACUUGGGAGGACGACGCAAUAGAAGAUGAUAGGUGUUCGUGCGAGAGAGAGAGAGAGAGAGAGAGAGAGAGAGAGAGAGAGACGUCGAGAGAGAGAGAGAGCGAGAGAAAGCGGCGUGCGAGAGAGAGGGCCGGGGGGAAGGCGAGAGAGAGAUGAAAAUAAUGCUGUUAAUUAGAUUUGGGGUUGUUAGAGGGUAAAAUUGUUAUUUUAUAUAAUAUGUAGUAUUAACGGAUUUCAGUAAUGCAAGAUACACGACCUUCCUCCCGUUAAUAUUUUCGAUGUAAUCCUGCUCGAUUUGUAAUGCUACAUUAACGACUAGAUUACAUAGCGGAUUAACCAAACACAGUUAUCCUGACAGGAUUGCCUGUAAUCCUGCCAGGAUAACUCGAACCAAACGCACUUAUAUUAAUAACUCAUCAAAAUUUAAUUAACUAAAUUAGAUUGCCAGAUUUUAUUAUAACAGUUUAAAAAAUUCAAGUAAAAAAUUAUAACAAAUUAAAAUUUAAAGACCUAGGUGUAACGGUUAUAGUUUUGAGAAGGGACGGUAAUUUCACAUGGUCUUUUUUUUUUUUUUUUUUAGAAUAAGAUAGCACACUACCCGCUUCUUUCAUUGACAAUAAUAAACUUAGCUACAUAUAUAAGGCAAAUAGGCAUAUGAAAGAAAGCGAAAAAAAAAAAAAAUUUCACACAAUCUCUGACGGGGGUAGAUGGGGGAUAAGACCUGUGUGCUCUGUACUGACCAUAGUUAGUAAAUUCGGAUUCGGCAAAAAUUUGGUACGGAUAUAAUACGCAGAAAAUUCGUUUUCUAAUUUUUAAAUUCGUUGAAAAAUUCGGCUUAAAAAACAAAUUUGAUAUAAAAUAUAAAUAUAAGAUAAUUUAUAUUUAAAAAUAUAAAUUAUAAAUUUUUUAUUUAUAUUUUUAAUAACUCGCGAAUAAUUCGUAAAUAAUUCGGCUGGCCCAAAAAUUCACGAAUAAUUUUCUUUAUUUAGAAAAAAUUUAUAAACGGACCAUUUAAUUCGAAUUUUCAAUAACUCGUGAAUAAUUCGUGAAUAAUUUGCGAAUUAACUAACUAGGGUACUGACUUUUGCGAGACUGUUGACCACCUUUUCACACGGUCUUUCAUCUUUCUGAUAAUGUUUUUAGUUUGAGCACUUUUUUGUGUGUAAUUAUUAGUACCAUCUGCAAGGGCAACUUCCCUGAGCCGAACGAGAUCUUAUUAAAACAUUUUGGUGAAUUGUAUGAUUUAUUCUGAACCAAAUUUUAAAGAUCUAUUUUAAUUUAAAACUUUUCAAUCAAAAUUUUAAAGUUUUACAAUAUUUUUUUUUUCUUUCUUUCCAUUUAGUAAAAAAGAACAUAGCUUUUUUGAACUAUGAUCUAAUAUUUUAAUUUAUUUAAUUUGAGUCGGUCAAUGACACUUUAAUUUUAAAAUUUGAAUAUAUUAUUUAUCUUACAGCUUUAGCUAGUAUACUUUAUAUAAUUCUCGUAACUAUAAAUUCAUUAAAAAAAAAUAAUUAGCUUAAAUUUUAAAGCCAGAAUAAAAUAAAAAAAUAUGAUAAUAAAAUUGAAAUUUUAAAUUUUUGUUAGUGAAAUCAAAAUUAUCAACUAGAAGAGUAUUACGCUUUGUUACUUGAUUUCAAAAGAAAAAAAGAAAAAAAAAAAAAAAAAAAAAAAAAAAAGGCAAAGCACCAAAAGUGAUCUUUACCUCUUAUACGGCAAUAUGUAUGUUGGUAGUUCUCAUUUUGAUUCGAAGAAACUUCAUGAGCAAUAGGUGAGCAAGGAAAGGAAAGUUUUAUUUGUACAUCUGUCAAAAAAAGAGUUUAGAUUUUACACUUUAUUUUAUAAUUCACAAAACCUAAUAAAUUGUUAAUAUUUUAAAAAAUUUGACAAAACAUGAUAAUAUUAUUAGCCAUUAAAUAAAGAGGGUGUAAGAUUUACACCAUUUCUUAGGAUGUACAAAUAGCACUGCACUCGGAGCGUUUUUCUAUGUAAGUGAUACUAUUUGGAUAUGUAAUAAUUCAGCCUACUGGCACUAAUAAUUUGUGGGUCCUAAUAGUCAGCUCAAAAUAUUUAAACCUAGUUAACACACUCUCACCAUUUUAAAUCAUGACGUUUUCUCGUCAACCUGAUCACACACAGCUAAAAAUCAUCAAAUAAUGUGACGCCCACCUCACAUUUAGGGGUGGCAAUCCAACUCGUUGUUCGCGAGCCAGCUCGUAUUCGGCUCUAAAUAAACUAGAGAUCGGCUCGCUCGUUUAGUAAACGAGCCGAAUACAAGCUGAAUUUUUUAGCUCGUUUAAUAAACGAGCUGAACACGAGUUGGGGUCAGCUCGCUCGUGUUCGGCUCGAUGAGAGCUCGAAUAUAUAUAUUUUAUAUUUAUAUAAUUUAUUUAAUUUAUAUUUUUAUAUAUAAAUAAAUAAUUAUAUAUAUUAUAUAUUUUUAUUAUUUAAUUUUUAGUAAAAUAAAAAUAUAAAUACGAGCUUAAUUAUAAAAAGACUCAUUUAUAUGUAAAGUUUCAACUAUUAGAUCAAACUCUAAUGGAUAACAUUUUAUAUAUAUUUAAUCUAAUCCCUUUUUAAUUUAUUGUUCGUUGGCCAGCUCGUGAGCCAGCUCGUGUUCGGCUCGGUAAUAAACGAGUCGAACACGAGCUGAAUUUUUCGGCUCGAUACUUUAAUAAGCCAGCUCGUGUUCCGCUCGUUUAAUAAACAAGCCGAACACAAGCUGACCCUAGCUCGCACGUAUUCGGCUCGUUUACACCCCUACUCACAUUUUCCGCUAAUGAACCAGCUUUGAUGCCAACUAUAAUAACCCAACUCAUUAACACUAAAGACUUCCGCUAGUGAACCAGUUUUGCUGCCAACUAUAAUAACCCAACCCACUAACACUAAAGACUGCUAUAACCAAACCACCGACCUAAAAUAUUUAAAUCUAGUUAUUUAUUAUAUAUUAUGCGUCCGUCACAUAUAGGCCUCCCGCGCUUUUUCAUAUUAUUGAAUAUGAAACUAUUUAAGAGUAUAGCUAAAUAUAAGAUGUAAAUUUUGCAUUCUAGCCAUCCAAAUGCUAAUAUUUACUUACUAGUCUUAACAACUUCUAAUCAUAGAAAGCUUUGUAUGGGCAUAGUAGAUGUGAGCAUUACUCUACUUACAUCGGCUUUUGAAUAUACAAAUAACAUUAUACACAUGUGUACAUUCGAAAAACAAUUAUUGUGCAGUACAAUGAGUGCAGUGCGUUUGUAAUCAUCACGAACAGCCACUUUUGGAUAUACAAAUAACAUUACGCGUUUGUCACUGCAUGAGCAAUUCUUGGGCCAUGCAAUGAGUGCAUUGGCGCUGUGAAUGUCCCGCGUGAUCGGUCUCUCACGUUGCCACGUCACCAGUACAGCAGUUUUAUUACCCACACAAACGGAGACCCUUCCGUACAAUUUUCCACCCUUACCCCUCAUUCCUCCAUCCAACGGUGCAAAAUCGCUGCGCGUGUGACCCAACCACAGAAAAUUAAGACUCUCAAAGUUUCAGCUGAACUAAAAUUCGAAUAAAAUUAUUUUUUAUUACCAUUUGAUGAAUAAAAAAUUGGUAAUUUUAAUACUCUAGUCAUCGUUUUUUUAAAUUCAUUUCAUCAAAAAUUUUAGGCACUAUCUACAAUGCAAGAUCGCGAGAGAGCGUAUGUGAGAUGUGAAAAUUAGGAUUAUCAACAAGCUAAACAAGAGCGAAGUGAGGCCGGCUCAUAUUCGUUCGUUUAUUAAACAAGAAGAAUACAAGUUGACUUGUUAAAAUAUCGAGCUAAAAAAUUUAGCUCAUAUUCUAUUAAUGAGCUGAAUAUGAGUUAGUUCGCGAAUAGUAAGUUAGAUUGGCAGCUUUAUUACUGGAUGCAAAUUUAUAAAAAAUUAAAAUCUUAAUCUAAUAAUCAAAAUUUAGAAAAUAUAAAUCUUUUUAUAUUUAGAUUGGCCUAAAAAUUUAAAUAGUAGAAAUUUAUAAUAUAAAUAAAAUAUAUCGAGCUAAAUACUAGCGAACUGACCUUAACUUGUUGUGUUCGACUCAUAAGGUUUCGAACUGAAAAUUUUAGUUUGUAUUCAGCUCGUUUAUUAAACGAGCAAUCGAUCUCGAGUUCAUUUCAAGCCCAACGAGAACCGAUACAGCGAGCUAGAUUGCCAGCCCUAUCUACAGUAAAGUCAAUUAUAACAUUUAAAAAAAAUAAAAUUACAAUCAAAGCUAAUUUAUGAUAAAUAAAAUAAUAAAAAUAGUAUUUAUGGCCGAAAAUCACCUCCCUCAGCUUUUGGUGCAAAAAAUAUCCCCUAAUUGUACCACUGCAUCCCAUUGCUAAAUAUUUGAGGUCCCAAAUAUUUGCCGUAGAAUUUUGUGAUUUGUUAACGAAUUUACAUAUAUAGUUCUUAAAGUACUUGUAUAAGGUAAAUUUAAGCUCUCAAUAACGUGUAUAAGGUAAAUUUAUACUGCAUCCUUAUGCUAGAAGUUUCAAAUAUUUUUAAUUAUAUUUAACGAUAUGAAUCAUCAAUUUAAAAGCUCCAUCAUAAAAAAUAAUUUAUAAGUAUAAAGAUAUUUAUACUCAUAAAAGUAGAGUCCGGCUACUAUACUUUUAUGAGUAUUGGCUUCUUUAUACUCAUAAGUUUUCGGUCCUUAGAUUUAUUCUAUUGAUCAUUUCCACCCAUUAGAUCAUACUAUUCAACCAACUACCCACUUAACCCUAGGGGACCACUAUUAUUCUAAGUGGGACCACCAUCAUCCUAACCACAUAUCCCAUCACUCAACGGUUCAAAAUUUAUAAGUACAAGGAGAUUUAUACUCAUAAGAGUAUAAUAGUCCAAGCCCAUAAAAGCAUAGUAACUCUAGUGUAAUUUUAGAGGCCCACACUAUCAUUUCAAGAUGAUAGAAGUCUUUGAUAUAUUAAGUCAUUUUAGAUGAUUAAAAUUCUAAAUCGAUAAUUGACAUCGUUGAAAUUGAUCUACAUCAUUAGACAUACUUACAAAUUAAAUAUUGUAAUUUUAAAAAAUAAUUAUGAAAUCCAUCCAUUUGUUUUCGAUGAUAAAGCUUCCUAAUUGACGAUCGGUAUCGUUGAAUAUUUUACUACUUGAAGCAUCUAGAAACCGAAUUUUAUUUUUUUUAUUUUUUUCAAUAUUAUUUUAUUUUCCAUCAAAUGGACACAAAAAUGAAUAUCUUUUAAAAAGUCUAAAAAUAAAUAUCAUUUAAAAAAUGAUAAUAGGUAUCUUAUAAUCAAGAUCGAGAGUAUAAAUUUUGUUUUAAAUAAUUUAAAAAAUAUUUUAAUCAAAAUUCAAUUGAUUUGAAUAUUUUCACGCCGUUAAACAAAAAAACAUUUCAUAUUGACCAUUAAAAUUAUAAAUUUUAAAACCCUUUGAGCAUUAAGUCAAUAAUAUUGAAAAGAUUUAUAAUUUUAUUUUUAGAUACUUCAAGUGGUAUAAAUCAUAUUUAACGAUGCCGAUCAUCGAUUUGAAGGCUCCAUCAUCGAAAACAAAUAAGUGGUAACAAAAUUUGUUUACCACCGAUAGCAUUUCAGUCCAAUUAUAUAUAUAUAUAUAUAUAUAUAUAUAUAGUGCGGCUAGGAUGCUUAUGGAAGCACGGAGGGCUCCGUGCUUCCACUUUGUUUUCGAUGUUCGGACUUACGAAUCGACGAUCGGCACUUUUAGACUUGAUCUAGAGUAUUUGAAGUAUCUAGAAAAUAAAUUUUGCGAUUUUUCGAUAUCAUUUGCCUAGUGAUCUAAAUGGCUCAAAAUCAACGGCUGAAACUAAAAAUCUUACAAAAUAUGAUGAUAUGACAUUAAAAUUUUAGAUCAAAGUUAUUGAUCUUGUUUUAUAUGGUAUAAAGAAUUUUUUAUCAAAAUUCAUGUGAUUUGGAUAUUUCUACACCGUUAAACUUGCAACCGGCUCACCACGGCCAUUAAAAUUAAUGAUUUUAAGCCCCUCCGAUCACUAGGCAAAUGAUAUCGAAAAAUUACAAAAUUUAUUAGGUACUCCAAAUACUCUAGAUCAACUCUAACAAAGCCGAUCGUCGAUUCGAAAGUCUGAACUUUGAAAACAACUAGCACGGAGGGCUCCGUGCUUCCAUAAGCAUACCAGCCCACUAUAUAUAUAUAUAUAUAUAAAACUCAUCUCUCGCAUGGUCUAAUUUCUACGACAUUUAUUUUUUAUCAAACAAACAGUGAAACUGAAAUAACUUCAGUUCCAUAAUUAUACAAAUAAAUAAAAAAUAAUAAUAAUUUUUAUCUAAAUUUUAAUUUAUCUCAAAACUUAUUUAAAGCUAACUUUGCUGAUCAGUAAUAAAACAAAUCCAUUAUUAUACCCAAAAAAAAAAAGCAAUAAAAAAAAGGUUGGCGUAUUUUCGUAACCUUAACCCCCAAAAAAGCAACAAUCCUCGCGGACGUACUCCGUCGGAUAAUGCUAAAGAAUUUUUAAACUGAGUUUACAAGAGCUCAUCCGCGAUCUCGAUUUUGCAACGGUCAAAACAAAAUUUGUGGGUCCCACAUGUCAGUGCAAGACCCGGUGCACGCGCCCGGUUACACCAAACACCAAACACCUCCCCACCACCAAACAAAUGAAAACCAAAAGCCUCCACAAUCUUGCUGUAGAAGAAGCCGCAGCUCCCCCAUUACACCUACCCCUAACUCUACCCCCAAAAACUACCCCGACACUCCAUGAAACCAACACCGAAGCAAAUGACCUACAAAGAGACAUAUCAUAUCGGUGGCAAAAAGAUCAGAUUGGAUCGAGUCACGUUUAAAAAUGACAGAAAAUCGAGUUGAACCGAAUCACAAUCGAGACUUGUAGACGUUAUAUUUAUACAUUUUAAGUGAAUUGAUUGUGUCAGUGCGAAAGGUAAAUGAUAUCCCACAGAACUAUGGAUACAGGAAUCAAAGAUUAGCUUGGUACCGUGUUAUUGAAAAGAUCGAUCUAAUAGAAAACAAACAACACGAACAAAGAGAGAGGAGAGAUUGGGGGGUGGCAUUAAUGUGUACCUGUCGAACGCAAGUAGGAGGGAAAUAAAUGUCCAUGGCGAGGAUACCAACGUUCUUCCUCUCCCCUUCCAUUUUCUUCCCAAUUUUACUCCUUCUAUUUGAAUCCCACCACCUGUUUGUUAUAAUUCCUCAAAGAAAAAGAAGAUGAUGACGAUGAUGAAUACGAGCGAGAGAGAGGGAAAGAGUAAAAAGGGUUUCCACCAAGCGCG
rnacentral:lncRNA from 1 species